rnacentral:lncRNA from 1 species
AUGUGGUUAACAUUUCUUUCUUUCUUUCUUUCUUUCUUUCUUUCUUUCUUUCUUUCUUUCUUUCUUUCUUUCUUUCUUAUGAUCUUUCUUAUAUCCUCAAUGUUCCAAUUUCAGGAGGAUAUACACACCUUAUUUGUUGCAAACAACCUCAGCAUUCCCCCCAACAAGUCCAACCUAGGUUCUGGAAUGUCUUCUUCCCCUGGCUUCCUCUGACAAAAUGCUGAUUUUCUCAACUUUCAGUUUUAUUCAUUCUUGGCUGUCUGAGGACAGAGUCCAUGUCCUAUUCAUCAGCAUAUCCCAAGAUUUGGUUCCUGUUUGACUCUAAAUCUUUGUGGAAUGACUGGUUGACUGAUUAAAUUGGAUGACAGUGACUUUGAGGCAUCAAAUUCCUUUGGAGGGUAUUUUCAAAUUAAGUGGUGUUUGUUAGCUCAAAGAAUUCCUAACUUGAGAAUGUGAGGAGAAAAGCUUCUUAGAGAAUGAAGUAUAUAGUAUUUUCUCCAUGCUUCCUCACUCAAGUCCAGUCUUUCUAGUUUUUCCAGAGUCAGAUUGAGGUGGGAAGGAGACAUUACUUAACACCUCUUUCUACAAGCCCCUGUUUCAAAAUGGAGAAGUUCAGAGCGUAACUCACCUCUUGUCCUGAAGACAUGUUCUUCUUCCAUUUCUGAAGUGGCGGUCACCAGACUCCUAAACUAAAGCUUCAGAGUGUGGUCCUCAGCAACUUCUUUCCUGCUGCACCCACCUCAACAUGGGUUCUUGCCAAGUGGAGCUUCUCAUGCUGGCCCAGACUCCAUCUCUUGCAUAAUCUACUCUUGCUACACAGGCACUGCCUUUGCCCAGAAUGCCCUUCUUCACUUGGACAAUUCAAAGCUGUCUUUCAAGACCCUGCUCAAAUGUCACUUCCUUGAUGAAAGCUUUUGACUCAUGUAGGCAGACUUAGUUGCUUCCCAUAUUUCUGCAAUAACUCCUACCACAUUGUGGAGUAAUUUAUCUGUUUAUAGGCUUGUCUCUUCUAAAUCAUGAGCUAUCUUUGUAUAGACUCAUCACAGUUCCCAUCACAUAAAAUAUGUUAAAUAAUAUCUACAGAAUGAUAAAUGAAUA